rnacentral:rRNA from 1 species
GCAUAUCAAUAAGCGGAGGAAAAGAAACCAACAGGGAUUGCCUCAGUAACGGCGAGUGAAGCGGCAAGAGCUCAAAUUUGAAAGCUGGCCCCCUCGGGGUCCGCRUUGUAAUUUGCAGAGGAUGCUUCGGGWGCRGCCCCCRUCUAAGUGCCCUGGAACGGGCCGUCAUAGAGGGUGAGAAUCCCGUCUGGGAYGGGGUGUCYGCGYCCGUGUGAAGCUCCUUCGACGAGUCGAGUUGUUUGGGAAUGCAGCUCUAAAUGGGUGGUAAAUUUCAUCUAAAGCUAAAUACUGGCCGGAGACCGAUAGCGCACAAGUAGAGUGAUCGAAAGAUGAAAAGCACUUUGAAAAGAGAGUUAAACAGCACGUGAAAUUGUUGAAAGGGAAGCGUUUGCGACCAGACUCGCCCGCGGGGUUCAGCCGGCAUUCGUGCCGGUGUACUUCCCCGUGGGCGGGCCAGCGUCGGUUUGGGCGGCCGGUCAAAGGCCCUCGGAAUGUAUCACCUCUCGGGGUGUCUUAUAGCCGAGGGUGCAAUGCGGCCUGCCCGGACCGAGGAACGCGCUUCGGCUCGGACGCUGGCGUAAUGGUCGUAAAUGACCCGUCUUGAAACACGGACCAAGGAGUCUAACAUCUACGCGAGUGUUCGGGUGUCAAACCCGUACGCGCAGUGAAAGCGAACGGAGGUGGGAGCCCCCUCGCGGGGCGCACCAUCGACCGAUCCUGAUGUCUUCGGAUGGAUUUGAGUACGAGCGUAGCUGUGGGGACCCGAAAGAUGGUGAACUAUGCCUGAAUAGGGCGAAGCCAGAGGAAACUCUGGUGGAGGCUCGCAGCGGUUCUGACGUGCAAAUCGAUCGUCGAAUUUGGGUAUAGGGGCG